UAUAUGAAGAGUUUGAUCCUGGCUCAGGAUGAACGCUGGCGGCGUGCCUAAGACAUGCAAGUCGAGGGGGUUUAGACCCCCGGCGAACGGGUGNNNNNNNNNNNGAGUAACACGUGGGAACUUUCAACAAGUUUGGAAUAACCUUCCGAAAGGAAGGACAAUACCAAAUGUGCCCGCAAGGGUAAAGGAGCAAUUCGCUUGUUGUGAGGCCCGCGUCCCAUCAGCUAGUUGGUAGGGUAAAGGCCUACCAAGGCUAUGACGGGUAGCGGAACCGAGAGGUUGAUCCGCCACACUGGGACUGCGACACGGCCCAGACUCCUACGGGAGGCAGCAGUUUGGAAUUUUGGACAAUGGGCGAAAGCCUGAUCCAGCGACGCCGCGUGCACGAAGACGGCCUUCGGGUUGUAAAGUGCUUUUGAUGGGGAAAAAUCCCGCACCUUUUUGGUCUGGUUGGGGUUUGAAUGUAUAAUACGCGUAUGUAUUACGUUUAUAUACUUUUAAAUCUAGACGAGAAAUCUGCUCGUAAGUUCUACAUUGGAGUUACUGAUAAAGUAACGACAAGAGUAGAUCAGCAUAAUCAUGGAUUAAGUCAGUGGACAAGUAAAUUUGGUCCCUGGAGGUUAAUCUAUUUUGAAGCUUAUCUAUCGCCAGUAGAUGCUGGUCGUCGAGAGCGACAGUUAAAGCAUCAUGGCAAAGGGUUUCAUGAACUUAAGAAAAGAUUAGAAUCUAGCAUCAACGAUGCCAAAAAGGUGCGGGACUGAUGGUACCCAUAGAAUAAGAGGUUGCUAACUCUGUGCCAGCAGCAGCGGUAAUACAGAGACCUCAAGCGUUAUCCGGAAUCAUUGGGCGUAAAGCGUACCGAUAGGUGGUUUUGAAAGUUUUGGGUAAAAGCCAGAAGCUCAACUUCUGAGUUUGCUCAAAAUACUGCAAAACUAGAGGGGCAAAGAGGAGACUGGAACGAACGGUGUAGUAGUGAAAUGCGUUGAUAUCGUUCGGAACACCGAAAGCGAAGGCAGGUCUCUGGGUGCCACCUGACACUGCUAGGACGAAAGCGUGGGGAGCGAAUGGGAUUAGAUACCCCAGUAGUCCACGCUGUAAACGAUGGAUAUUAGGCAUGCGCGAGUAUCGACCCUCGUGCGAGCCGUAGCUAACGCGUUAAAUAUCCCGCCUGUGUAGUACGGCCGCAAGGCUAAAACAUAAAGGAAUUGACGGGGACCCGCACAAGCGGUGGAGCAUGUGGUUUAAUUCGACGAUAAGCGAGGAACCUUACCAGGGUUUGACAUGUAUCUUCAAGCGCACGGAAACGUGUGAUCUUCGAGAGUGAUACACAGGUGCUGCACGGUUGUCGUCAGCUCGUGUCGUGAGAUGUUCCCUUAAGUGGGAGAACGAGCGCAACCCCCAUGUUAUGUUGAUUUUCAUAACAGACUGCCGGCGUUUAAGCUGGAGGAAGGCGGGGAUGACGUCAAAUCAGCGUGGUUUUUACACCCUGGGCGACACACGUGCUACAAUGGGUAGGAACAAAGGGACGCAAUACCGUAAGGUGGAGCAAAUCCUCUCAAAAACUACCCUCAGUUCGGAUUGAGGGCUGCAACUCGCCCUCAUGAAGCUGGAAUCGCUAGUAACCGUAGAUCAGCCUCGCUACGGUGAAUACGUUCUCGGGUUUUGUACACAAAUUAAAGGCGCCUGGCGGCUAUUAAAGCUAAGUGGUUUAAGUCCACU
rfam:Candidatus Doudnabacteria bacterium RIFCSPHIGHO2_01_FTLL_41_86 rifcsphigho2_01_scaffold_2273, whole genome shotgun sequence.